AUUGAACGCUGGCGGCAGGCCUAACACAUGCAAGUCGAACGAGUGGCGGACGGGUGAGUAAUGUAUGGGAAACUGCCUGAUGGAGGGGGAUAACUACUGGAAACGGUAGCUAAUACCGCAUAACCUCGGAUGUGACCAGAUGGGAUUAGCUAGUAGGUGGGGGAAAGGCUCACCUAGGCGCCGAUCCCUAGCUGGUCUGAGAGGAUGACCAGCCAAACUGGAACUGAGCCACGGUCCAGACUCCUACGGGAGGCAGCAGUGGGGAAUAUUGCACAAUGGGCGCAAGCCUGAUGCAGCCAUGCCGCGUGUAUGAAGAAGGCCUUCGGGUUGUAAAGUACUUUCAGCGGGGAGGCGUUACCCGCAGAAGAAGCACCGGCUAACUCCGUGCCAGCAGCCGCGGUAAUAC
rnacentral:rRNA from 1 species